rnacentral:lncRNA from 1 species
AUCGAAUUUUUGGAACAGAUGAAAUACUUAAUUGCAAUCAAAGUAUCGGAACAUAUGAAUCGCCUAAUUGCAAUCAAAAUAUCAGAACAUAUGAAUCGCCUAAUUGCAAUCAAAGUAUUGAAAGAUAUGAAACAUUAAAUUGCAAUCAAAGUGUUGGAACAUAUGAAACGUCUAUUUGCGAUCAAAGUGUUGGAGCAGAUGAAACGUUUAAUUGUGAUCAAAGUGUUGGAACAGAUGAAACACCUAUUUGCGAUCAAAGUGUUGGAACAGAUGAAACAAUUGAUGAAGAAGAUAAUAGUGUGAAUGAAAUUAAGAAAGUGCAUGACCAGAAAAUUGUAGAAAU